CCUGAGGCCUGCCCAAGCCCCUCGGGGUCACAGCUCUCCUCACAGGGUCCUUCCUCAUCUGACGGGGACAAGGUGCCUGGGGCCAAGGGGGAGAGGAAAAGCUGCCCCCAUCCCGACCCCACCGUGUUCCACCUGAUGAGGCUAAGGAGGAGAGGAAAAGCUGCCCCCACCCCGACCCCACUGUGUUCCACCUGAUGAGCAGCGAUGGCACCUGCACCCCAGAGCUGGACGUGCUAGGGGCCAGGACAUCCCAGAGGAAGACGGCGUCCCCUGCGCUGAGGACCUG
rnacentral:lncRNA from 1 species